ACCGUUGGAGGUACCAGGGGUAUGGCUGGGGGUACCAGGGGUGCUGCUGGGGGUACCAGGGGUGCUGCUGGGGGUACCAGGGGUAAGGCUGGGGGUACCAGGGGUAUGGCUGGGGGUACCAGGGGUGCUGCUGGGGGUACCAGGGGUAAGGCUGGGGGUACCAGGGGUAUGGCUGGGGGUACCAGGGGUGCUGCUGGGGGUACCAGGGGUGCUGCUGGGGGUACCAGGGGUAAGGCUGGGGGUACCAGGGGUAUGGCUGGGGGUACCAGGGGUGCUGCUGGGGGUACCAGGGGUAUGGCUGGGGGUACCAGGGGUGCUGCUGGGGGUACCAGGGGUAAGGCUGGG